AUGCUCAAAAUUCUCCAAGCCAGGCUUCACCAAUAUGUGAACCGUGAAACUCCAGAUGUUCAAGCUGGUUUUAGAAAAGGCAGAGGAACCAGAGAUCAAAUUGCCAACAUCUGCUGGAUCAUGGAAAAAGCAAGAGAGAUCCAGAAAAACAUCUAUUUCUGCUUUAUUGACUAUGCCAAAGCCUUUGACUGUGUGAAUCACAAUAAACUGUGGAAAAUUCUUCAAGAGAUGGGAAUACCAGACCACCUGACCUGCCUCUUGAGAAGCCUAUAUGCAGGUCAGGAAGCAACAGUUGGAACUGGACAUGGAACAACACACUGGUUCCAAAUAGGAAAAGGAUUACGUCAAGGCUGUAUAUUGUCACACUGCUUAUUUAACUUAUAUGCAGAGGACAUCAUGAGAAAUGCUGGGCUGGAAGAAGCACAAGCUGGAAUCAAGAUUGCCAGAAGAAAUAUCAAUAACCUCAGAUAUGCAGAUGACACCACCCUUAUGGCAGAAAGUGAAGAGGAACUAAAAAGCCUCUUGAUGACAGUGAAGGAGGAGAGUAAAAGAGUUGGCUUAAAGCUCAACAUUCAGAAAACUAAGAUCAUGGCAUCUGGUCCCAUCACUUCAUGGGAAAUAGAUGGGGAAACAGUGGAAACAGUGGCUGACUUUAUUUUUCUGGGCUCCAAAAUCACUGCGGAAGGUGAUUGCAGCCCUGAAAUUAAAAGACGCUUACUCCUUGGAAGGAAAGUUAUGACCAACCUAGAUAGCAUAUUCAAAAGCAGAGACAUUAGUUUGCCAACAAAGGUCCGUCUAGUCAAGGCUAUGGUUUUUCCAGUAGUCAUGGAUGGAUGUGUGAAUUGGACUGUGAAGAAAGCUGAGCACCAAAGAAUUGAUGUGUUUGAACUGUGGUGUUGGAGAAGACUCUUGAGAGUCCCUUGGACUGCAAGGAGAUCCAACCAGUCCAUCCUAAAGGAGACCAGUCCUGGGUGUUCAUUGGAGGGACUGAUGUUGAAGCUGAAACUCCAAUACUUUGGCCACCUGAUGCAGAAAGCUGACUCAUUUGAAAAGACCCUGAUGCUGGGAAAGAUUGAGGGCCAGAGGAGAAGGGGAUGA
rnacentral:lncRNA from 1 species